rnacentral:misc_RNA from 1 species
GAUGAAGAACGUAGCGAAAUGCGAUAACUAAUGUGAAUUGCAGAAUUCAGUGAAUCAUCGAGUCUUUGAACGCACAUUGCGCCCCCUGGUAUUCCGGGGGGCAUGCCUGUCCGAGCGUCAUUGCUGCCCUCAAGCACGGCUUGUGUGUUGGGCUCCGUCCCCCCGGGGACGGGUCCGAAAGGCAGCGGCGGCACCGAGUCCGGUCCUCAAGCGUAUGGGGCUUUGUCACCCGCUCUGUAGGCCCGGCCGGCGCCAGCCGACAACCAAUCAUCCUUUUUUCAGGUUGACCUCGGAUCAGGUAGGGAUACCCGCUGAACUUAAGCAUAUCAAUAAGCGGAGGA